rnacentral:rRNA from 1 species
GGGCUACGACACGUGCUACAAUGGCCGGUACAAAGAGUUGCGAUACCGCGAGGUGGAGCUAAUCUACAUAAAGCCGGUCUCAGUUCGGAUUGGAGUCUGCAACUCGACUCCAUGAAGUUGGAAUCGCUAGUAAUCGCGGAUCAGCACGCCGCGGUGAAUACGUUCCCGGGCCUU